UUCGACCGCCAUGGGCCAUAGCUUGGGGGAUUUGCGGUUAGGGAUGCGGAUUCGGGAGGCGGCGGACUCCGGCGAGGUGGCGACUGGUGGCGUGAGGAUCACACCGUCCGGCGCCGUCCAAGAGACCGGCUGCAUCCAGUGUCGUGGUGUUUAACAACAAAAUUGGUUCUGAUUGAUCGAGAAGUUGAGCAGACCAACUCUGGCGAGUAGUAAACUUUGCUUAGAAGCUAAGCUUAUCUUCAGUUCAGAAUAGAUCAUGUUAGGACCAUUACUCCAGAAAGAUUUAAUCAUAUACGAAAUUUUGCAACACAUGGAUUUAUUUGCCAGUUUGGACACAAGUGAACUGAACAAAUGGUGAGGAUGACACAUGAUACCUCCAGUUUUUCAAUGAGUUCCUUAGGCGUUGGAGCCAAGACAAUGAUAUGGCGGGCACUAGGUCUGAUGAACCCUUCCUCCACAGCUUUGUCGAUGAAAGACAACAAUGGGUUGUAGUAACCGUCCACAUUCAGCAGGCCAACCUGCAGAAUUUCAACCACAAGUCUCAUGUGACAUACUCACCAGGCAAUGCUAUAAAGGCAUCUGACUGCCUGGCCAUCUCUGCCUUCCUCUGGUGCAUAUCGGCCACUGCUUUCACCUCCCCCACUGUCUCACCUGAUAUCUGCAUGUACAUACACCGUCGCACGCGCAACAAAUACACACUAUAUAUUACCAGAGGAGGAAGCUUUUUGCUUAACCAAAAGAGGACCAACUUUCUUCAGAUGGAGAAAGAAAGGUAUAGGGGACAAGAGAAAAUGUGAUGGGCUUUUUCUUUGUUAAAUCUAGCCAGCAUCCCUGCUUGAGAGAUUGCAGUCAAGAUCAGUGAGAUUUCAUCUAUCAUGGGGGAACCAGAUUUCAGUGAGCAUUUCUCCUGAUCCUUCAUCAUAAGUUUGCUUUCUUCUUUCCCACUAGCAAAAAAAGACAAAGGAACAAGAUCUACAGAUAGUAUCAUUUUUCUAUCGUUACAAUACUUAAGUGCAGUAAUAGUAUACUAUAUCUGAAGAUAAACAUGAUGAGAUGACUAUGCACUUAAAGAUAAGCAUUAAGAAGAUUCCCACAAAUAUAAUUUUAGUUAAAAGAUUGGUCAUAUAUCAUUGAAAUUUUGACUAGUGAUUUUAUCCUCCUAGUGGCAAAUCUGAACAUUAGUUUCAUCGUAAUGACAUCACUUUAC